rnacentral:lncRNA from 15 species
UGAUGGAUGAUGUGGUGAUCAUGUCAUUGUUUUUUGAGCUGCAGACCUCUUCUUACUACCGUCAUCCACAGCAUAAUCCUUGAAUACAAAUUGCAUUACUUUUGGGGUAGCUCCCUCCAAGAAAGCUGUGUUGUGUGUUGUCCUAUGGCGGUCUGCUGCAUCCUGGUAAGUUGCCAAGUUUGCAUGCAUUACACUAGAAACCACUCAUUCAUGUUUCAAAAACAAAAGAUGAUUUUUGACAUUUAUAAUAAGGUGACUAAUUUCCCUGUUUAAUUAAGAAUUUUGGUCUUAUCUUUGUAUUUGGUAUUGUUAAUAGAAAUCUCCUUUUAUCACUCACUCCUGUGUCAUAAAGUUACAGCACUGCAUCAUCAGCAUAUUGUCAUUUCCUGGAAUAAUGUUUAUCUCCUCAACAGCUUUCUGUAAGAGCAACAGGAUGGCUGGAAGUUAAAUGAGUGUCUCACACUCAGAGGGUCCCUGGUUACAUCUCCUCUCACCUUCUCGUCCAUGAUGCAGCUACUCUGUCAUUUUGCCUUUACCUUCCUGUGCAGUCUGUCUUUCUUCUCUGCUGUGCUUUCCUUACAGUGCGAUGACACACAAUAUUCCUGGCCAGUGAUAGACUCCAAGUUUUGCUGUAACAAGUGCCCGCCAGGUAAGGCUUUGGCUCGGCGUCUAAAUACCGAAUGUCAAACUGAGUGUAAAACAUGCGAGGAUGACCAUUACGCUGAUACCUACAACGUGGAGCUAUACUGCAAACAUUGUACAAGUUGCAAUAAACCAAACAUGGAGUAUAUGUCAGCCUGUAACAGCACCCAUGACUCCGUGUGCAGAUGUAAAGCUGGCUAUGAAUGCAGAGAACAACCCUGCAAAAUGUGUGUGCCAAUACCAAUCACCACCAAACCUACAACCACACCCACCACCACAGCCACACCCAGCACCACACCCAAAACCUCUUCAUCCACUACAGUUCUUACAGAUACAGCAUGGUUCCUGGUGAUAAUUAUCCUCCUGUCUGUAAUACUCAGCUUUUUUGGUAUAACAAAAAUGAAGCCCUUUCUGCACUGGAUCAGAUCAAAGCACGGCUACCUUUUGGCUAAAACACCUGCACCAAUGCCACCAUUCCAAGAGGACGACAGUGUAUCCAAGCCUGUCCAGGAAGUAUGUGGGAAAUGUGACCAACCUCUUGACGUAUGAUGGGUUAAAGACUAGAUCCUGAACUUAAACUUGAACUUUAGAAAAAUUUCACUGGCGGACAAUUAGUGACACGUGGCAGAUGUAAAACAUCUCUUGUUGCUUUGGACAUUUAUGAUAAAUGGAGGCAAACGAAAUGUCACUUGGUCCAUGCUGACGUAUGGAACCACAGAAAGACUGAUGCUGUUUCCUGAGAGGAAACAUGAGUGUUUGACAUCUGUGACGUUACAAUGGUUAAAGUGUAUAAAAUCGAGGAGAUUAAGCAUCUGAAAUCUCGAAAAUCUGGAAAUACAGUGUGACACUGGUGGUUAUGCAUGAGACAGAAAUUGUGCAGUGUGUUGAUAAACUGGUAUGUACUUUAGUACACAGAAUUUAAAGAUAUUCUUUAUAUGUGUAUAUAUACUUUUUUUCUGUUUUGCAGUUGGAUUAUACACAUCACAUGUGAAUGUUUUUAACUUGAUACAUUUCUACUUUGUUUUGUUAAUAAAACUUUAUUGUAAUCAAAAUGCCUAAUAUUUAUGCAACAUUAAACAUUCAAAUCUAAUACUUUAGAGAGAUAUCAUUAAAGAAUAUUUACAUAUUUACAUAUUAAAUUAUAACUUACAAAGGAGAUCACCUUCCAGCUGUUCUUCCCAUGGUUCAAGUUUUCCCAGAAGCUGCAUAUAAAAAUAUCUCUGUAGAACACUGUGAUUCACAGUUUGCCAAAGAAGGAUGAAUCUGCUACACACUCUGUGGUUUCACAGUUUUAUGGUUCCUUUCUUUAGAAGAAUGUUUUUAGGAUCAGUCUGGAUGCUGGAGGUCCUAACCACCAACACAA